AGCCCAGACCCUUACACUACAGAAAUCCCCAAUGGUGCUGAAAUCCGCGCCCACGCCCGGCACGGCCCGCCCGGCACGGCCCGCCCGGCACGGCCCGCCCGGCCCCUCCACCAGGAGGAUCCGAAAGGUUACCUGUACAGUUUCCUGUAGCCUGCCCCUGUAUCAUACACCUUUAAAUGGAGUCAACUUUUUAAUUAUAUAUAUAAAGAUAAAUAUAUAUAAAUAUAUAUAUAAACUUUUUAAAACUGUGAAAAAUAGCUAUGAAAUUAUAAAAAAAAACACAUUCUGACGUGCAGAAUAUUAUUUUUUAUUUCCUGUUAGAUCGUGAAUGUCUAGCACCGGCUUUAUGCCUCUCCCCCACUCCCCUGUACCCGCACCCCUGCCCAUGUGUACUGUAUGUGCCCCCAAAUGGAUGAGAGAUGGAAAUAGAAAGAGGGGGCCCGAGCCCAGCCCCCAGCUCAGCCCGAAGCACUUAACCAGUCCCCCUGUGCCUGCCAGACCCCAGUGGGGUCCCCGGAGGCUUUGAGCAGACAAUCUUGAAGGAAGGAAAAGCCAGAUUUCGGUUUUGUUUUUUCUUUUCUUUUUGGGGUGGGGGUAAUUACUGUUUCCUGAUUUUUUUUUUUAAGUUUCUUUUGGAAUUUUGUUUGUUGGCAAAUUCUGUGUGAUCUUUUUUC
rnacentral:lncRNA from 1 species